AAAGUUGCUAGCUUAUGAACCAUGAUAAC
rnacentral:piRNA from 1 species